CAGCAGCCGCGGUAAUACGUAGGUGGCAAGCGUUGUCCGGAAUUAUUGGGCGUAAAGGGCUCGCAGGCGGUUUCUUAAGUCUGGUGUGAAAGCCCCCGGCUCAACCGGGGAGGGUCAUUGGAAACUGGGAAACUUGAGUGCAGGAGAGAAAAGUGGAAUUCCUAGUGUAGUGGUGAAAUGCGUAGAGAUUAGGAGGAACACCAGUGGCGGAGGCGGCUUUCUGGACUGUAACUGGCGCUGAGGCUCGAAAGCCAGGGGAGCGAACGGGAUUAGAUACCCCCGUAGUCCCUGUCUCUUAUAC
rnacentral:rRNA from 1 species